rnacentral:rRNA from 1 species
UACGAACCGUCCAAACGUUAUUCGGAAUUACUGGGCUUAAAGAGUUCGUAGGCGGUUGAGAAAGUUGGGUGUGAAAGCCCUCGGCCUAACCGAGGAAUUGCGCUCAAAACUACUUGACUAGAGGGAGAUAGAGGUGAGCAGAACUGAUGGUGGAGCGGUGAAAUGCGUUGAUAUCAUCAGGAAUACCGGAGGCGAAGGCGGCUCACUGGGUCUUUUCUGACGCUGAGGAACGAAAGCUAGGGGAGCAAACGGG